AGCGUACACGGUGGAUGCCCUGGCAGUCAGAGGCGAUGAAGGACGUGCUAAUCUGCGAAAAGCGCCGGCGAGGUGAUAUGAACCCUUGACCCGGCGAUGUCCGAAUGGGGAAACCCAGUGCAAUCCGUUGCACUAUCGUUAACUGAAUACAUAGGUUAACGAGGCGAACCGGGGGAACUGAAACAUCUAAGUACCCCGAGGAAAAGAAAUCAACCGAGAUUCCCCCAGUAGCGGCGAGCGAACGGGGAGCAGCCCGGAGUCUGAAUCAGCUUGUGUGUUAGUGGAACGGUCUGGAAAGUCCGACGGUACAGGGUGAUAGUCCCGUACACGAAAGCACACUUGCUGUGAACUCGAAGAGUAGGGCGGGACACGUGGUAUCCUGUCUGAAUAUGGGGGGACCAUCCUCCAAGGCUAAAUACUCCUGACUGACCGAUAGUGAACCAGUACCGUGAGGGAAAGGCGAAAAGAACCCCGGCGAGGGGAGUGAAAAAGAACCUGAAACCGUGUACGUACAAGCAGUGGGAGCCUCUUUUAUGGGGUGACUGCGUACCUUUUGUAUAAUGGGUCAGCGACUUAUAUUCUGUAGCAAGGUUAACCGUAUAGGGGAGCCGAAGGGAAACCGAGUCUUAACUGGGCGUUAAGUUGCAGGGUAUAGACCCGAAACCCGGUGAUCUAGCCAUGGGCAGGUUGAAGGUUGGGUAACACUAACUGGAGGACCGAACCGACUAAUGUUGAAAAAUUAGCGGAUGACCUGUGGCUGGGGGUGAAAGGCCAAUCAAACCGGGAGAUAGCUGGUUCUCCCCGAAAGCUAUUUAGGUAGCGCCUCGUGAACUCAUCUUCGGGGGUAGAGCACUGUUUCGGCUAGGGGGCCAUCCCGGCUUACCAACCCGAUGCAAACUACGAAUACCGAAGAAUGUUAUCACGGGAGACACACGGCGGGUGCUAACGUCCGUCGUGAAGAGGGAAACAACCCAGACCGCCAGCUAAGGUCCCAAAGUCAUGGUUAAGUGGGAAACGAUGUGGGAAGGCACAGACAGCCAGGAUGUUGGCUUAGAAGCAGCCAUCAUUUAAAGAAAGCGUAAUAGCUCACUGGUCGAGUCGGCCUGCGCGGAAGAUGUAACGGGGCUAAACCAUGCACCGAAGCUGCGGCAGCGACACUUAUGUGUUGUUGGGUAGGGGAGCGUUCUGUAAGCCGUUGAAGGUGUGCUGUGAGGCAUGCUGGAGGUAUCAGAAGUGCGAAUGCUGACAUAAGUAACGAUAAAGCGGGUGAAAAGCCCGCUCGCCGGAAGACCAAGGGUUCCUGUCCAACGUUAAUCGGGGCAGGGUGAGUCGACCCCUAAGGCGAGGCCGAAAGGCGUAGUCGAUGGGAAACAGGUUAAUAUUCCUGUACUUGGUGUUACUGCGAAGGGGGGACGGAGAAGGCUAUGUCAGCCGGGCGACGGUUGUCCCGGUUUAAGCAUGUAGGCGGAGGUUCCAGGUAAAUCCGGUACCUUGUUAACGCUGAGGUGUGAUGACGAGGCACUACGGUGCUGAAGUGAUAAAUGCCCUGCUUCCAGGAAAAGCCUCUAAGCAUCAGGUAACACGAAAUCGUACCCCAAACCGACACAGGUGGUCAGGUAGAGAAUACCAAGGCGCUUGAGAGAACUCGGGUGAAGGAACUAGGCAAAAUGGUGCCGUAACUUCGGGAGAAGGCACGCUGAUAUGUAGGUGAAGCCCCUGCGGGCGGAGCUGAAAUCAGUCGAAGAUACCAGCUGGCUGCAACUGUUUAUUAAAAACACAGCACUGUGCAAACACGAAAGUGGACGUAUACGGUGUGACGCCUGCCCGGUGCCGGAAGGUUAAUUGAUGGGGUUAGCGGCAACGCGAAGCUCUUGAUCGAAGCCCCGGUAAACGGCGGCCGUAACUAUAACGGUCCUAAGGUAGCGAAAUUCCUUGUCGGGUAAGUUCCGACCUGCACGAAUGGCGUAAUGAUGGCCAGGCUGUCUCCACCCGAGACUCAGUGAAAUUGAACUCGCUGUGAAGAUGCAGUGUACCCGCGGCAAGACGGAAAGACCCCGUGAACCUUUACUAUAGCUUGACACUGAACACUGGUCCUUGAUGUGUAGGAUAGGUGGGAGGCUUUGAAGCGUGGACGCCAGUCUGCGUGGAGCCAACCUUGAAAUACCACCCUUUAAUGGCUGGUGUUCUAACGUAGACCCGUAAUCCGGGUUGCGGACAGUGUCUGGUGGGUAGUUUGACUGGGGCGGUCUCCUCCCAAAGAGUAACGGAGGAGCACGAAGGUUGGCUAAUCCUGGUCGGACAUCAGGAGGUUAGUGCAAUGGCAUAAGCCAGCUUGACUGCGAGCGUGACGGCGCGAGCAGGUGCGAAAGCAGGUCAUAGUGAUCCGGUGGUUCUGAAUGGAAGGGCCAUCGCUCAACGGAUAAAAGGUACUCCGGGGAUAACAGGCUGAUACCGCCCAAGAGUUCAUAUCGACGGCGGUGUUUGGCACCUCGAUGUCGGCUCAUCACAUCCUGGGGCUGAAGUAGGUCCCAAGGGUAUGGCUGUUCGCCAUUUAAAGUGGUACGCGAGCUGGGUUUAGAACGUCGUGAGACAGUUCGGUCCCUAUCUGCCGUGGGCGCUGGAGAAUUGAGGGGGGCUGCUCCUAGUACGAGAGGACCGGAGUGGACGCAUCACUGGUGUUCGGGUUGUCAUGCCAAUGGCACUGCCCGGUAGCUAAAUGCGGAAGAGAUAAGUGCUGAAAGCAUCUAAGCACGAAACUUGCCCCGAGAUGAGUUCU
rnacentral:rRNA from 1 species